GCAAAAUAGCUAGCCUAGUUUAUAGCAAAACAAAUGACCAACCAUAUAUAACAAAACAAACCCAAACAUAAAAU
rnacentral:rRNA from 1 species